AGUGGUAAGAAAGGAGCUGUGCUGGAAGGGUCCUGGCCUGAAGGGCCAUGUCCAACGUGGAGCAGAGGUGCCCAAACUACAGAGCUGGACUUGAUGGACUCGUGUUGCAUAUGCACCUGGAAUGGAGGAAAAACGGGACCCCCUCAACGGGGGCAAAGCCAUGGACGAAUCACUGCAGUUCAUUGCACUCAGCAUUCUGGAUCACGGGACGCAGAGCCCUGGGGUCGUAUCACUGUAAUGAUGUGCACCAUAAUUACAUGUGUGCUGAAGACAACAGGACACGGCUCCAGCCAGGAUGAGGUCUCCAGCGUUUUGCUCUCUCUGCUGCCCGAUUCCCAGGGAAUGGGAAGGGCUUUGCAACACAGCCAGGCUCCUCGUGGCAAAGCUUCAACUAUUCCCCGGCCAGGCGAUGCAGCAGUGCUGGAGGAGCAGGGCCAGCUGGCUCUUCCCAGCUAUUUCCCCAUACUCGUGGGCUCAGCAGCCCAGCCCAGAGCACAGCCCACUGCUCCUGCUGCCCCCACAUCUUCCACCUCCUGGUGGCACCAGCAGAGCCUGGGUGGGAUGUGGGAUGUAGGGACACCCAGCUGGGAAAUGCGGACACCCCCACCCCGUCUCCUUUUUAUGAUAAGGAAGAUUUCACCUGGUCCAAAAUUAAGGGUUUGAACGUCCUCCACUCUUGCUACAGGGCAGUGGUCACUUCGGGUGAGUUUGGGCUGGGCAAGCAGGCUGCUGAUGGCUGCUGAACAUCUCCGUCUCCAUGCCAAAUAUCUCCAUCCCAACACUGAAUGUGUCCUUCCCAGUGUUGAACUUCUCUAUCCCAAUGUUGAACAUCUCAACACUGAAUAUCUCCAUCCCAUUGCUGAACGUCUCCACCCCACUGCUGAACAUUUCCAUCCCAGUGUUGAAUAUCUCCACCCCAGUGCUGAACAUCGCCAUCCCAGUGCUGCGUAUCUCCAUCCCAACACUGAACAUCUCCACCCCCAGUGCUGAACUUUUCCAUCCCAAUGCUGAACAUCUUCAUCCCAAAUCUGAACAUCUCCAUCCCAGUGCCACACAUCUGCAUCCCAAAGUGGAAUAUCUCCAUCCCAAUGCUGAACAUCUCCAUCCCAGUUCUGAACAUCUCCAUCCCAAUACUGAACAUCUCCAUCCCAGUGCUGAACAUCUCUAUGCCAACGCUGAAUAUUUCCAUCUCCAUUUUCUGAGAAACACCCUGCAAGAGUCUCAGGAAGGCUGAGGACCUCAUGGUGACACCCAACAAGAAUGGACACUUCCCCCAGAGAUGUUCCCUGUUAGAAACAUAUGCCCAGUGCAGAGCCCUGGGGUAAAGCCAAGGCUGUGAUGCUCCCUGUUUUCCUCCCCGCGCCUGGCAAAGCUGUGCCCUCCAUCGGCCAAACAAUCCUGCCCUGCCCCCGUGCCCUCUGGUUGCAGCAAGGCUGUAGCAAAUCCGAGCAGGGGGACAACACAGUUCAACACAGUGUAAAACAGCAGUCGGAGCACGGCGGUGCAGAGGCAGUGCCCAAAGCAAACACACUGCUGCGAAAAAAACCUUCCCAGCUUAGUGCGCCCUUCUAAAAACACAGAGUGACUUCAGAAAAAUGUGAGAAAACAUGAGCUGCUCACCCCCAGAGGGAAAACAGAGCACAGGAGCCAUAGGAUGGAGCCUGCUGCCUGCAGCCGUGUCCCCAUGGCAGAGGAUCCUGGGGCCAUCGCGGUGCCUGGGAAGGGCUGAGCUCCCUUAAAGAGCAGUCGGAUGAUGAAUGUGGAGUUGAAAACCUCUUAGAGAAGGGAUGUGCCACAGCAGCCCGCUUCAGCUCCCUCUCCAAGAGAGAUUAUUAAUUAUAAACGUUGCAAAUCU
rnacentral:lncRNA from 7 species